rnacentral:rRNA from 1 species
GACGAACGCUGGCGGCGUGCUUAACACAUGCAAGUCGAACGGUGAAGCGCCUUCCUUUUUGGUGGGUGUGGAUGAGUGGCGAACGGGUGAGUAACACGUGAGUAACCUGCCCCCUUCUUCUGGAUAACCGCAUGAAAGUGUGGCUAAUACGGGAUAUUCUGGGUCUGUCGCAUGAUGGGUCUGGGAAAGAUAUUGUUUCGGUGGGGGAUGGGCUCGCGGCCUAUCAGCUUGUUGGUGGGGUGAUGGCCUACCAAGGCGGUGACGGGUAGCCGGCCUGAGAGGGUGGACGGUCACACUGGGACUGAGGCACGGCCCAGACUCCUACGGGAGGCAGCAGUGGGGAAUAUUGCACAAUGGGCGCAAGCCUGAUGCAGCGACGCCGCGUGAGGGAUGGAGGCCUUCGGGUUGUGAACCUCUUUCGCCAGUGAAGCAGGCCUGCCUCGUUUGUGGGUGGGUUGACGGUAGCUGGAUAAGAAGCGCCGGCUAACUACGUG